rnacentral:tRNA from 1 species
GCCCACCUAGCUCAAUCGGAUAGAGCGUCAGACUUUUAUAUACCAAUGUUUACAGAUUGUCUUAAUCUGAAGGCUGCGAGUUCGACCCUCGCGGUGGGCU